GAUGAAGAACGCAGCGAAAUGCGAUAAGUAAUGUGAAUUGCAGAAUUCAGUGAAUCAUCGAAUCUUUGAACGCACAUUGCGCCCCCUGGUAUUCCGGGGGGCAUGCCUGUUCGAGCGUCAUUUCACCACUCAAGCCUCGCUUGGUAUUGGGCAACGCGGUCCGCCGCGUGCCUCAAAUCGACCGGCUGGGUCUUCUGUCCCCUAAGCGUUGUGGAAACUAUUCGCUAAAGGGUGUUCGGGAGGCUACGCCGUAUAACAACCCCAUUUCUAAGGUUGACCUCGGAUCAGGUAGGGAUACCCGCUGAACUUAAGCAUAUCAAUAAGCGGAGGA
rnacentral:misc_RNA from 1 species